GUGUCAGCAGCCGCGGUAAUACGGAGAGGGCAAGCGUUGUUCGGAAUCACUGGGCAUAAAGAGCACGUAGGCGGGUGGCUAAGUCGGUUGUGAAAUCCCGGGGCUCAACUCCGGAACUGCUUCCGAAACUGGCUGUCUAGAGGAUGAGAGGGGAGAGUGGAACUUCUGGUGGAGCGGUGAAAUGCGUAGAUAUCAGAAGGAACACCGGUGGCGAAAGCGACUCUCUGGCUCAUAACUGACGCUGAGGUGCGAAAGCUAGGGUAGCGAACGGGAUUAGAUACCCCGGUAGUCCUAGCCGUAAACGAUGGGUACUAGGUAGAGGUGGUUCUGACGCCGUCUCUGCUGGAGCUAAUGUAUUAAGUACCCCGCCUGGGGAGUAUGGUCGCAAGGCUAAAACUUAAAUGAAUUGGCGGGG
rnacentral:rRNA from 1 species